GCAGCCGCGCGCGGUCGCAGUCGCUGCGCGGCCUCUCGGGCUAGAGGGGGCGGGAGCAUGUCUCCCCCCUGGCUGACCAAAGACGGACGACGGGAGCAUGCUGGAUCUUAGUUCUCGGACCAGGGAUCAAACCCGUGUCCCCUGCAGUGGGAGUGUGGAGUCUUAACCACUGGACCACCAGGGAAGUCCCUAAAUAUGAGUCUUAGUUAUUAUAAAGUGACCAAAGAAUGAUCCAUAAAUGUAUUUUUCAUUUAUUGCAAGCAUAAAGGGAGAGCAAGAAAUGUCUACUCUCUGGAUGCCAGUUCUAGAGGCUGGGAAGUCCACGAUCAAGGUGCUGGCAGAUGGCAGAUUCAGUGUCUGUUGUUUGUUUUCUUUUUGGCCGCGCAGCAGGGCAUGUGGGACCUUAGUUCCUGACUUGGGAUUGAACCCGCGCCCCCUGCAGUGGAAGCGUGGAGUCUUAACCAGUAGACCACCAGGAAAGUCCGUUUCCCCCCAGUUUUAUUGAGAUGUAAUUGACAUACUAUUUGUUGUUUUUUAAAUGUGGUUAUCGGAAAAUAUAGAAUUGCCAAUAUGGCUCGUAUUUUUGGCUCACAUCAUUUAUCUACUGGACAUUGUUGCUCUAUACUCUCGUUAGCCUUUUCUCCUAUGCCUUACCCUGUACUAUCCUUUUUCUUGAGAUGUGCUAUUUCCUCAU